rnacentral:snRNA from 1 species
AUACUUACCUGGCACAGGGGAAACCAUGAUCACGAAGGCGGUUCCUCCAGGACGAGGCACUUCCAUUGCACUUCGGUUGGGCUGACCCCUGCGAUUACCCCUAAUGUGGGUAACUCGGGUGCAUAAUUUUUGGUAGUCGGGACUGCGUUCACGCAGACCCGGU